AUCUGGGCGGCGGAAUUCAGGGCGAACGCUUCGCGGCGUUGGUCUGAUAUUUCCGUCGUCGGCCCGAUAAGGGCGCGGACGUCGCGAUCCGUUCGAUGUCGGUCCUUGUUCGGAGGAACCGCGUUCGAGUUUGCUGGUUGGUCGAUGCUUCGGCGUUGGUCGGCUGGCGAAGGCGCGGACUUCUGGCCGACUGGUCGGACGGUAUGUGCGAGUGGUGUCCGACGUUGUUACCUUGCGUACGCGACGUCGGUGCCGGUCAGCGACGAUUCUUCGGGCCUCUUUC
rnacentral:rRNA from 1 species